rnacentral:rRNA from 1 species
AACGUAGGGGGCCAGCGUUGUUCGGAAUUACUGGGUGUAAAGGGUUCGUAGGCGGUGCGGCAAGUCGGGAGUGAAAUCUCUGGGCUUAACCCAGAGGCUGCUUCCGAAACUGCUGUGCUUGAGUGUGGGAGAGGCGCGUGGAAUUGCAGGUGUAGCGGUGAAAUGCGUAGAUAUCUGCAGGAACACCCGUGGCGAAAGCGGCGCGCUGGACCACUACUGACGCUGAGGAACGAAAGCUAGGGGAGCAAACAGG